UACGUAGGCGGCAAGCGUUGUCCGGAUUUAUUGGGUUUAAAGGGUGCGUAGGCGGCUUAUUAAGUCAGUGGUGAAAUACUCUAGCUCAACUAGAGGGGUGCCAUUGAUACUGAUGAGCUUGAGUACAGAUGAGGUAGGCGGAAUUGACGGUGUAGCGGUGAAAUGCUUAGAUAUCGUCAAGAACACCUAUAGCGAAGGCAGCUUACUAGGCUGUAACUGACGCUGAGGCACGAAAGUGUGGGGAUCAAACAGG
rnacentral:rRNA from 1 species